GAUGAACGCUGGCGGCGUGCCUAAUACAUGCAAGUCGAGCGAACAGACGAGGAGCUUGUUCCUCUGACGUUAGCGGCGGACGGGUGAGUAACACGUGGAUAACCUACCUAUAAGACUGGGAUAACUUCGGGAAACCGGAGCUAAUACCGGAUAAUAUAUUGAACCGCAUGGUUCAAUAGUGAAAGACGGUUUUGCUGUCACUUAUAGAUGGAUCCGCGCCGCAUUAGCUAGUUGGUAAGGUAACGGCUUACCAAGGCGACGAUGCGUAGCCGACCUGAGAGGGUGAUCGGCAACACUGGAACUGAGACCCGGUCCAGACUCAUACGGGAGGGAGCAGUAGGGAAUCUUCCGCGAUGGGCGAAAGCGUGACGGAGCAACGCCGCGUGGGUGAUGAAGGUCUUCGGGUCGUAAAACUCUGUUAUUAGGGAAGAACAAAUGUGUAAGUAACUGUGCACGUCUGGACGGUACCUAAUCAGAAAGCCACGGCUAACUACGUG
rnacentral:rRNA from 1 species